UAAGCGGAGGAAAAGAAACUAACAAGGAUUCCCCUAGUAACGGCGAGUGAAGCGGGAAGAGCUCAAAUUUGUAAUCUGGCACUUUCAGUGUCCGAGUUGUAAUCUCGAGAAGUAUUUUCCGCGCCGGACCGCAUACAAGUCUGUUGGAAUACAGCGUCAUAGUGGUGAGAACCCCGUAACUGAUGCGGAUGCCCGGUGCUUUGUGAUAUACUUUCGAAGAGUCGAGUUGUUUGGGAAUGCAGCUCAAAUUGGGUGGUAAAUUCCAUCUAAAGCUAAAUAUUGGAGCAAGACCGAUAGCGAACAAGUACCGUGAGGGAAAGAUGAAAAGCACUUUGGAAAGAGAGUUAACAGUACGUGAAAUUGUUGGAAGGGAAACGCUUGAAGUCAGACUUGCUAUUCGGAGUUCAGCCGCAAGGUGUAUUCUUCGAUUUGCAGGCCAGCAUCAGUUUUUGGGGGUGGAAAAUCGUGGUUUGAAGGUAGCAGCUUCGGCUGUGUUAUAGCUUUCCACUGGAUUCAUCUUCGGGGACUGAGGAACGCAGUACGCUUUUUGCAAGGCUUUCGAGCUUUUCGUACUUAGGAUGCUGGUGGAAUGGCUUUAAACGACCCGUCUUGAAACACG
rnacentral:rRNA from 1 species